rnacentral:lncRNA from 1 species
GACAGCUUUGCUUAGCAAUCCAGAAUGAUCAGAUCAGCUGGGUGGACCAGGCAAGGUAGUUUUCAUAGAGCCCAAAGUGCCUAACCCUGCCUGGCAUCAGAAGGGAGGACUGUUUGUUAUCUUGGCUCCAGAAAGACUCUUCAAACUAUUUCUACCAAUACUGUAUUUAUGCCACAUUCUUACUAAGACCUGAUGGAACUAGGCCCUAAAGAGGAAGAGUGGCCAGAAGUGGUGAAAUCUGAUCCAACUGGGCAACCUUCUUUUCUUUUCUUUUUUUUGAGACAGAGUUUCGCUCUUGUUGCCCAGGCUGGAGUGCAACAGCAUGAUCUCGGCUCACUGCAACCGCCAUGUCCUGGGUUCAAGCAGUUCUCCUGCCUCAGCCUCCAGAGUAGCUGGGAUUACAGGCAUGCGCUACCACGCCUGGCUAAUUUUGUAUUUUUAGUAGAGACGGGGUUUCUCCAUGUUGGUCAGGCUGGUCUCAAACUCCCGACCACAGGUGAUUCACCUGCCUCAGCCUCCCAAAGUGCUGGAAUUAGAGGCGUGAGCCACCGGACCCGGACUUAACUGGGCAACCUUCCUUGGGAUACCAGAGGAGAGGGACGUGCCGGGCAAAUGGACAGUCACUUUCUGAGCCUACAGGAAAACUAACCCCAUGGGCUCCUGGGAAAUCCUCUUUGAAGAGCCAGAUUUGCAUAUAAAUAAUAGGGAAUUCUGCUGGUUAAGAAGCUCAGACAAGCCCCAGAAUGCCCCGAUGAGGACGCAACAGGAAGACAAUCCAUAGACAGAGAAAGUGCUUUGUUUUACGGUUUCCUGGGCACUGACACCAGCAGCCUUUUCUGCCAGCGGUUUGAAAUACGAGACGCUGGUGUUUUUUCCCGGCUCCCUGAAUUUAAAUUACAUCACCAAAGAAGAAACUUCCCGAAGGAAAUGAAUCUCUGCAGAUAACGAUCCCUCACAAUGGAUUCAAAUUGUAAUAAAAAUAUAACUUGAAUGUUAAAGGUGAAUUUCAAUUAAGGAUUCCAUCACAUAUUUUGCUCCAGACCACAAUAAAAAAACUUAUUUCACUGCCAAC